AAAUCUUUUUAACCUUAAAAUUCCCUUUCAAACCAUAUUGCGCCGUCACUUCAUCUUCACUCUCGAACCCAGCAGCUUCCUUCGGCGUCCAUCGUCAUCUUCAUCACUGGAACCCAGCCUCAUCUUCAGCUUCUGGAACCCAGCCUUCUGGAACCCAACCCUUCAUCGCACCCAGAAAACCCUAACCUCCAUCACGCCGCCAUCUAUCUCACUGGUUCGUCGUUGUGUUAGCCAGCUCGCCAUUCCUCUUGCUGUCCUUCUCGCCGUUCUGGUCGUCGUGCUGCUCGCCUCUCUCUGUCGCGGUUCUGCUCGCCUCUCUCUGUCGUGGUUCUGCUCGCCUCUCCCUGCUCGCCUCAUCCCCUCCACCGUUGCAGUCCCUGGCUCACCCAUUCCUUCCCUCGCAGUCACACCGGCCGUCGCCCGUAGUCCUCCGCGGAACUCGCCCGUCACUCGAAGUCGCACUCCGAAGCCGUCGCCCGUUGUCCUCCUCGAACUCACCCGUCGCCCGUCGUCCUCCGUGGAUCUUGCAGCCGCUAUCUUCCUCCGUGGUACAAUGCAAUAAACAGUCGACAACAGCAUUAAUGUUGGCAUUCAGUGAACAUCUUCGAGAUAACUAUAGUCUUGUUACUAACAUGGAUCCUAAUGUUCCUGCACAACUUUUUGAGUAUGACAAACGUUUUGAGUAGUACGGAUGUGAUUACACAUUUUAUGACCACAAUCACCCUGAGGAGUUGCCACUGGAGUUGAAGCAUUCCUUCAAAAUAGUAGUGGCAGAUCCUCCUUACUUGGUGAGAGUUAAAUUGAUUGCUGAAAUUUUAUUUGGCUCGGCAAUUCUUGGAUUCUUGCUUCAGUGGUCUGGUGCUUUAGCAUUAGGAAAAUAGAAAAAUAGCAAAUUAGAGAUUAGAGAUGUUGAGGUUGAUAGUGAGGCCACUGUUAUUAGGUGGCCUAAAGGUCAUGCAACAAAGCUCACCUCCUUUCAAGAAAGUAAUAGUGAAAUCCAAACUUCAUGUUCAGAUAUUGCAAAGUCCACCAUGGACAUAACCAAGAUUCAGAAAGAGGAAGCCAAAAUCGUUGCAUGGGAAAGCCAACAGAAGGCAAAGUAACUUAUUGUUGCUUGUAAAUAAACUGAGAGAACCAAAGUAGCUAACAAAGUUUGACUUAGCAGUAAGAGGAGGGUCCUGACAGAAGGAUCUUCUUGCCAGAGGGUCUCUUGUAUGAUCUAAGGGAAGGAGGUUUAAGAGGGCUAAAGGAAGGAGGAACAGCAAAGGAAAUAGAAUUUAAGUUAUUUUUUUUAAGUUUCUAGUUUUGGAAUUUGAACUUGAGAUUUAUUUUGUAUUUGAGUAUUAGUGUUUUAAUGUAUAAAAUAAUUAUUGAAAAAAUUAUGUCACUAA